UUCUCGUACGAUCACCGAAGUUAAACAACGUAGAUCCUGGCCAGUACCUAGAUGGGUGACUGCUUGGGAAUACCAGGUGCUGUAA